AACCAUAGAAACCUGCGGAGUACCUGCGGAGGGAUCAUUACUGAGUUAGGGUCUUGAUGGCCCGACCUCCAAUCCUUUGUUUAUUAUACCAUGUUGCUUUGGCGGGCCUGCCUUUCGGGGCUGCCGGGGGUUUUACCGCCCCUGACUCGUGUCUGCCAGGAGCCUUCCUUAACUGCCGUGUUAAAUUGUGUUGUCUGAGUCUCAGUAUCAAAUUGUGAAAAAACUUUUAACAAUGGAUCU
rnacentral:misc_RNA from 1 species